CAACCGCUGGCUUCACACCGAGGCCCCGCCUCCCACGUGCGGGCGCUCCUCUCCUAGAGCUCACUGGUCUUUCCAGAAGUCCUCAAGUUUCAUGCGACCAGCAGUGAACUUUACUGGGUAGGGGUGGGAAGCCGGUGGCUCCGGACAGUCGUGAUAACCCGGCACAGAAGCAGAGUCGCAUUUCGGAGCGUCCACUCGUAACGCGGCUUCUCGCACACGGAGCCCGUAGUCCAGGGGAGAGGAGGCCAGGGAGGCCCUGGAGAGGUUGUAGGUACAGGAUGAUCGGCAGUGGAGACCCUGUCGGGCUCAGGAAGGCACUGUUCUUUCAUCAUUUCCUUCCCAGCAUGCACUUGUACAUGCUGUACACUCCACUCUCUUCAUUACCACAACAGGACUACAAAAUCUUUAGAGGAUGAACAGCCAAACAAGGUGACUUACCGCCUGCCAGGAGAGCUUAUUAAAGGAUUUCAUUUCUUGGGCAUCCA
rnacentral:lncRNA from 1 species